AUGAAAGAAAAGGUUGAGAAAGAAGGCGUAAAGACAGAGAGAUCGAACGCAGAGAUUAGGAGGAGAUUGGAGAUAAUUUACCCUCCGCAGUCGUUGCUGCAUUCGCAGUUGCCUCCACAGCACGACAUGGUGAUGAUCUCACUCAACGAAGUGCAUCGAGUUCAUAUGCUCUCUGACUGCGCUUGUUCUGCUUUGGAAGGGAAGCUUGGUGUGCCCGUGAUUUAUAGAGCUGGGAGAGAGGCUGUCUAUCCGCCGUCCACUUCUCGGGCCUACCUCGGUUGGACGCCACUGAUCGAUCAACCAAUGAAUGAUAACUGA
rnacentral:rRNA from 1 species